rnacentral:rRNA from 1 species
GAUGAACGCUGGCGGCGUGCUUAACACAUGCAAGUCGAACGGGAUCCAUCAGGCUUUGCUUGGUGGUGAGAGUGGCGAACGGGUGAGUAAUGCGUGACCGACCUGCCCCAUACACCGGAAUAGCUCCUGGAAACGGGUGGUAAUGCCGGAUGCUCCAGUUGAUCGCAUGGUCUUCUGGGAAAGCUUUCGCGGUAUGGGAUGGGGUCGCGUCCUAUCAGCUUGACGGCGAGGUAACGGCCCACCGUGGCUUCGACGGGUAGCCGGCCUGAGAGGGCGACCGGCCACAUUGGGACUGAGAUACGGCCCAGACUCCUACGGGAGGCAGCAGUGGGGAAUAUUGCACAAUGGGCGCAAGCCUGAUGCAGCGACGCCGCGUGAGGGAUGGAGGCCUUCGGGUUGUAAACCUCUUUUAUCGGGGAGCAAGCGAGAGUGAGUUACC